CACAUUUUCUUCUUUUUCCCAAUUAUGAGUUCUUCCAUUUUCUUACUUUUCUAACAAGAAUAUUUUCUAACGGAACCACCGUGCCGGAACUCUCCUUCCGCCGUCGCCGCCUUCUUCUCCUUCUAAGGUGAGUUUCUUAUUCCGCUGCUUUAUUUUUUAUUCAGUUCAUUCUUUCAAACUAAAAAUCCUGAAUUUUCGUUGAUAAUCAUAAACUUUAUCCUCCUGUUAAAUAAGUUAAAUAUUUGAUUUGAGAAAAUCCCCAAUUUUUUGUUGAAUUGAGUGUUUCCUUGUUAUUUAUUUUGAUAUUAAUUUGGUUUUAUUUCUGAUUUUGGAACAGACUGAGUAAAAAAUUGUGUAGUUUAUAAAGAUGUCAUUUUUUUCUGUGUUAACCCUGUUUCGGGGAAAACAUCUGAUAAUCUAGAAUUCGACUGUGACGUAAAUAGACUCUAACAAAAAAUUGUUCUUCUAAAAAAUUGAACUUAGAUUCUACCGAAUGAUUCGUCUUAAUAGAAGCUCAUUCGGGACCAAUCACUUGAUUAAAAUUGGCCUUAGAAGCAAAAUGCAAUGGGUAUUUGGUGGUAAUAAAUAUAUUGGCUGUUUGAGUUAUUAAUGUUGUGUUUAAUUUCUGAUUUGGGAAUUUUGCUGUUGUUGCAUUGUUGUGUUAUUGUUUAGAUUUCUGAUCACUUUGCUGCCAGCUUUACUACCUCAUGUGUUAUAAUAUAGAUCAGAUACAUCACUUAUUCAAUGAAUUUGAAAAGUUGACAUUUUCUUAUAAAUACGGUCGGAGUGAGUACACUGUACAACUAUUGACCAAAACUCAACUUGAAAUCAGCUUAAUGUGUCAACACACUUAAUUCCAUUUGACAUUUCAUAUUAUAACAUAGACUGAAAAAAUCAUACUAGUAGCAUAAUCAGUUAUGGAAAUGGAAUAAUGAAAUCACGUGAUAGUAAAGGGAUAUUGAUCUGUCAUAUUGCAAUAUUAUAAAACGGAUGAGAUGCACUUUAUACUUGUUUAGUUUCAUUCACAGAAAAGCUAUAAAAAUAUAAUUUUUUCAACUUCCAUUUAUGUAUAUAUACAAUAUCAGUACUACUGAUAAAAAAUGGUCCAUUACAAUCCAAAAAUAACAGUAAACUUUAUAUAAAAAUUCAAUAAAAAAUAAACCAAACAAAUAAAAUACAACUGAAAAAACAUUAAAAAACGUAAAAAAAUCAAAUUGAAAAACUCCAUAGUGACACCUCAACAUCUUGAAAAUCUUCAUUAACAUGCUCAUGCUCAUGCUCAUGCUCUAAGCUAUGUGUAGGGGACAUUAGUGCCAUAUUCCUCAAUGACUCUGGAAUGUUCAACUCUCCCUCUUCUUCCUCUUCCAAACUAAACAUAAGCGGCUCCUCUGUAGCGGCGGAAGCUUCAGCUGUGUCUUCAAUGUCGGUAGUCAUUAAAAUAUUGUUUGGUCUAAAAGCCUCAGCAGCUGCUGCAGCUGCCUUUUGUAUAUCUUUUGUCUCUGUAGUUGCAGGUAUAGGAAGCCGCGUAGCCGAGUCUGCAUAGUUUAGACAAGCAUAACGACCCCUCAAUGCCAAUGCUGCAACAUCAUGUGCUCUAGCUGCCAUCUCGGCCGUUGGAAAAGUCCCUAGCCAAAUCUUAGUCUUCUUGUUAGGCUCCCUCAUUUCACAUACCCAUUUAUCUAAGUUCCUCCUCCUGACACCCCUGUAAACCGGGUGGCGAGUCUCCUUGAACUUCUUUCUCCCUGCACGCUUCUUCGGGGUAGUUGCAGCUAACCGCACCUCCUCGUUGGAAAACGAUAUCUCAUGAGAUACCUCUAAAUUCGGCAGUGAUAUCGUGCGGGAGGAAGAGGAUGGUUCCGACGAAAUAGGUUGUGAAGAAGAAGAGCUGCUACUACUAGUAAACAUAUUUAUGUGUUGGAGACUGGAGAUGAAAAUGGUUUUGAGAUCAAGAGAAGUGAGAAUUGAAAAGAGAGUUGGUGUAAAAAGAUUGAAGAGUAAGGUAGUGUAUAUAUAGUGAAUCAUCAUGGUUGAAGAAAUGAGGUAACCGUGAGAGUAUUUGUGAGUGUGUGUGUUUUGUGUGGUGAGUUGGAUAUUUAACUAUAAUGAGAUGAUGAGAUGAGACAACAGGUUUGCCUUGUUGGUUAUUUUAGUGGCUAUAUUUGGUAAAGAGAAAGGGAAACUGAUGAGGAAAGGGACAAGGAGAGAGAAGAAGUGUGCUUAUUUAGAGAGGGACACCCCACAAGGCUCAAAAAGUGUAGUGAUGUUAUCAAAAUAUCUUCUAUGAUACUAAAUGAUGUUUUUUAUUCCUAUAAGAUUAAAUAAGGUUUUUAAAAGCAAACAUAGAAUAUGCUAUUUUUAGCUCUUAUUUCCUUUGAGUCGAAUAAAGCUCUUUACUCCUUUUAUAGUAAUUUUUGUUCUAUAUUAAAAAAGCAAAUAGUGUAUUUUUUGUCAAAUAAAUUAGUGGUGAGAAAUUCAUUCAUUGAUUUUUUAUUUUAUUUUUUUUACUAAUUCAUUCAUUGAUGUUAAUAAGUGGAAUCAAAGGUAAUAUUAUUACGGGGAGUGUUAUUUGAACACCCAUUUUUCAGGAGUAAAGAGGUUUUUGAGAGUCUCAUAUUUAGGGGCGGAGUUGUUGAUUUGUAAUUCAAUCCUGAGUGUAAUUGAAGUUUGUUAGAGGAGUAGAUUAAAAUAACUAACUUGUAACAAGGUAACUAGUCUUGUGAUGUAAAAUAUGUAUCUCAAUCUCUUAUCAAUAAAACACUAUUUUUCAGGAGAGUAAUUCCUUUCAAAGUGUGUGAUGGUGCAUAGGUGCAGGAUAGCCGUGCACCAUUGUUGCAGGAUUUAGGCGCACGAUAGGUGCAGAGAGUAGUAGAUAAAGAUAACUGAUAUAUUUGGACUAUAUUUAAGACUAAAUUAUAUAAGUUAUUCAAUUAAUUUUUUAAAAAAACUAUUUAUUUAUAAUUAAGGCCAGAACAAAUUUUAGGGUUAAAUAAAUAUUUAGAUCCUAUAAAUAUCUUGACUUUUAUUUUCAGUCCCUAUAAAAAAAAUUUAACAAUUUUUUGUCCCUCAAAUAUUUUCGUUCACAACUUUUUGUCCAUACUUUUAAUCAACUUUACGGACUUUCAUAUUUUUUAAUAGUUUUUUGUGUAUUUAUCUUUAUAAUAUUAUAAGAACUUCUUCCAUAAAAAUUUAGAAUUAGAAUUUUUGCAAGAGAGACUACUUAUGAAUUUAGAAUUUUUUAACAUAAGAUAAAUUACUUAUAAAUUUUUAAGCGUAAAAAACUAAAAAAUCAAUAUAUAAUUCAUCUCUUAUUAAAAACAAAUUCAAAUUCAACUUUUGCAAGAGAGAUUCUUAUAAUAUACUAAACAUGUCAGAUAAUUUUUUUAAUUUUUUUUUGAAUGAUAUACAGGAGUUAAUUGAGAAGCAGGGAUACAAAAUUAUGAUAGAAAAUAUUUAAAGUACCAAAGUUUAUUAAAAAAAUGUAUAUAAAUUAAAUUCAUAAAUUAAAAAUAAAAUUUAAGAAAUUUAUAGAGAACAAAAUUAUAAUAAUUAAUCCAAAAUAUUAUACAGCGCGUUGUGUUGACUCGUUAGAUUUCCUUUUCAUUUAAGCUUGAAUUCGCGUGUAGUGAAAGUGAAAGCGACGUCUGAAUUAUGUGUAAGGAUAUUUGUGUUCUUCUCUCGUAGCCACAUGUUUUUUUCCUAACCGGAGAGCCACAUGUUCUUAGAAAUCAAUUCGUAUAUUUGUGGUAUUUCUUUAUUUGUAUUUAGAAUAUUAUUCUAUGCACUUGGAAUGGAUAGGAUUGGAUAGUACUAUGUAUGCGCAAUUUGCAAUGCAUUCCUGAUGGGAUAGUUUUAAAAAACAAUAUGGAAAAAAGUUCUCAUGAUUUAUAUAUUUUAUUUUCCCUAAACUACUGAUUUAUAUAGAUAACUGUGCAUUCCAGUUCCUACUAUCUUUUUACUUAAUUAUAAAUUUUUAGGCAAAAUAAAAAUUAAUUUUUGGACAUUUUAAAGUAAUUUUUUUUAUGGGGCAAGAUCCCCCAUUCAAUAUAUCUUUCAUGCUUACAAAUGAAGAUUUUAUGCGAUAACAGAAAUUAAACUCACAUUAUUACAUAGUAUAAGUCAACUUUUUCAGUAAUUAUACCCACUUUUAUUUUUAUUUUUAUAGAUAGAUAGAUGAAAUAGCAAACACAUAAUAAACUCACAUACAUAAAUGGAAAAAUCGGGAUUCACACCCUAUAUUAGACCAACCUUAAUUUGAAAAUGGAUUUACCGCAGUUUUAUAUGGUGCAGUAAUGGUGCAGUAAUAGUUGUUACUUGUUGCCUAUUUUAUUUUGUUGGAGAUGUAUAGUUGUUACCUUUAAGGAUAAGUAUUAGGUAAAUGUAUAUCAACUAGAGACUGGUCACCCAAGUUUACAUUUUGGAUUUCUUUACGGGUUAAUGCUACGGUGGACUACCUUUACAAGUGGUCCACCGUGGACAAGUGAUCUAUCGAAUAAUUUUUUUACGAAAUUCACUGUUUGAUUGAAAAGUUUAUAUCGUAUAGACCAUCCAUAAAUUUUUUGAAAAUAAUUUGAUAUGUUAUUGGGACCCAUCAAGAUUUACGUUAUUUAAUAAACUGUUAAUCUUGAUGUGUCUCAAUAAUAUAUCAAAUGAUUUUCAAUUUUUCUAAAUUUUUCUAUGGAUGAUCUAUAUGUUAUAAACUUUCAAUUCAACGGUGGAUUUUGUAAAAUUCGUAUUCGUUAUAAUGUUAUUCAUGACUGGUCCACCAUGGACCACUUGAUGAAGUGGUCCAUAUUAGAAUUUACCUUUUUUACAAUGUGAGACAACAAUAGGGAUGACAACGGGCGCCCAUGGGUGCGAGUUUGACACUUACCAAACCCCCACCCGAAAUCAUCACCCAAACCCAAAGGCUGUUCGGGUGGCAAAACAACACUCACGCCUACACCCAUUGGGUUCAGGUUUUUUUCACCCAAACCCGCAUCACAUUUGAAAAUAAUUUGCAAAUUUAAGAAAUUAAAUUCCAACAUAGACUUUGAAUUAAAUUACAACUAAAAUUAAGAUCUUCCAAGAAAAUUCAAACAUAGACUUUCAAGAAAUUACAACAUAGACUUUCAAGAAAUUAAAUUACAACUAAAAUUAAGGUCUUCCAAGAAAAUUGAGGGAGACUAUGGGGGUAAUUAGGUAAUUAUAAAAUAUUUCGAGUGGAUGUAUGGGUUUCGGGUGUGGGUUUGACUGAUACCAAACUCACACCCAUAUUAUCGGGUGUCACCCGAACCCAAACCCAAACCCAGUCAAAUCGGAUUUCGCCCAUUGACUUGAGUUUGAGUUCGGGUGGAUCUCUCAUGUUUGAGUUUUUUUGUAUCCCUAGACAACAACAAUACUAGCCCUAUACCCCACUACUUAUAUCAUUUGGCCAUACUAAGCACGAAAAUGACAUACUCAAGCAAAAAAACAUUAUAGACCCAUCCUAUGAUGGGUGGCAUUUAGCAUGGGUAAGAGCAUCCCAUCCACAAUGGAGCUCCCCAUUUUAUGGUAUCUAAUUGGACCCCACAUGUACACAUCACACAUUUAUUAUUUUUUAAUGAUAGUACCUAAUAAGAACUCAAUCGCUCUAACCAAACACCUCUUAAAAAAUUCUAAAUGGAUCCUACCAAUAACACAUUUAACCAAUAACUAUAUAUCUUUAUAAAUGGGUCCCACCAAAAUAAUAUAGGUACUAAUGCUUAUUUGAGAACUAGUACCUAUUAUGUACUCAUUUGUAUUUUGCUCCAAUGAGAAUACCUAUUAGGUACCAAUUCUUAAGAAAUAGGUACUCACCAUUAGAGAUGGUCUAAGUGCUAAAGUUUCCCACCAUGGGCAAAUUAACAUUUGACCAUUAGAUCAGAUGAAGAACGCAUUUUUAGUAUAGUCUCUCAAUACUAGAUCUCACCACUGCCUUUUGCAACCCAUCUCCUUCUUGGCCCCAUCAUCUAACCGGACUUCUCCCUCCACCCCCUAUCAACAGCUCCUAAGGUUACCUCCAGUCCUCCACCAUCGCAGAUUGAAGAAUCAAAGAAUGAAAAAUCAGACAAAUCUACUUCAUAUUUUCAUCAAAUUUUAUAAUAAUAAUUUCAUUCUCAAAGAUUGAAGAUUUAUAUGGAUGUUAUUCCAGAUUCUAACAAGUUGGAAUUUUUCCGUUUAAUAAUUAUAUAAGCUUAAUCUAAGUUGUAACAAUGGUUUUGAAAACUUUUGGUUCAAAUAUAAUGAUAACAUUUUGUUUGAAAUAUGAGUUUUUCACAAAUUUGGUAAUUUUGAGAUUGAUUUAGGAUGAAAAUAUGUAUUACUUUUCACUAUCUUGUUCGGAUUUAUUUUAUGGGUUAUGUCAUGUUGAUUUGGAUCAAUUUUUAAUUUAAUUAAUUUUUCUGGGUAUCUUUGUUGUGUUUUGCUUAUUUUGAGAUUGAGUUAUUCUUAUUCUUAUUUUAAUUUAUAUUUUUUUUGGGUUUCUUUCUUGUGUUUCUUGGUUUUAAGUUAUUGAGUUUAAUGUAGGAACAAUCACAUUGAAAGCUAUUGUGCAAGUGUUUUAGUAAUUGUGGAUUGUUAAUGUAGAAGCAUCCACAUUGGAAGCCAUGGAUAUUGCUGGCCAGUGUUGGAAGAGAGAGGAGAGAGAAAGAUAAGGCAAUGUGAUAUGAUAUACAAUAUGGUGGAGGGAGAAGGUGAGAUGGUGGGGCCAAGAAGAAAAUGGGUUACAAAGGGUAGUGGUGAAAUCUUGUGUUGAGAGACUAUAAUAAAAUUGUAUUCUUCAUUUGAUCUAAUGGUUAAAACUUAACUUAACUUGCUCAUGGUGGGAAAUUUUAGCACUUGACCAUGCUAAAUGUCACCCCUAUGAUGAUCAUUGGUACCAUAAAUGUGUUGAUGUUUUAAAUGUGAGUUAACAAAUUCACAUUGAAUGAAAAUUAAAAUAUUGAGCGACCUAUAAGUGAGAUUACUAAUAUCGUGACACAGUUACAGUUCUGAACCGUUUGAUCUUAAUGGACAGUUGAUAUUGAUUUACUGUGUGAAUGAUCUGAGUCGUCCAAUCUCUAAUCAAUAGCCGAGAUUUCUUACUGCGUGAAACAACGUGAUAAUAGGACAACAUGCAAUCCUGGCCCAUUAAAAAUUACCUAUCGAAGAAGUUCCACAUUGAUUAGUAUGGUGAAGAAAGGGGAGAACAAAACUAUAUAUUGGACCUAAGUUUUUUGUUUUUAGAUACACAAAUUAAU
rnacentral:lncRNA from 1 species